rnacentral:rRNA from 1 species
GAUGAACGCUAGCGGCAGGCCUAACACAUGCAAGUCGAGGGAGAAGCCCUUUCGGGGGCCGAAACCGGCGCACGGGUGCGUAACGCGUAUGCAACCUACCUUUCACCGGGGGAUAGCCCGAAGAAAUUUGGAUUAAUACCCCAUAAUAUUAUUGGAUGGCAUCAUUUGAUAAUUAAAACUGCGGUGGUGAAUGAUGGGCAUGCGUCCUAUUAGCUAGUUGGAGUGGUAACGGCACCCCAAGGCUACGAUAGGUAGGGGUCCUGAGAGGGAGACCCCCCACACUGGUACUGAGACAGGGACCAGACUCCGACGGGAGGCAGCAGUGAGGAAUAUUGGGCAAUGGUCGGAAGACUGAACCAGCCAUGCCGCGUGCAGGAAGAAUGCCUUAUGGGUUGUAAACUGCUUUUAUAUGGGAAGAAUAAGGCGUACGUGUACGUUGAUGACGGUACCAGAUGAAUAAGCAUCGGCUAACUCCGUG